rnacentral:rRNA from 1 species
GACGAACGCUGGCGGCGUGCUUAACACAUGCAAGUCGAACGAUGAAGCCUAGCUUGCUAGGUGGAUUAGUGGCGAACGGGUGAGUAAUACGUGAGUAACCUACCUUUAACUCUGGGAUAAGCCUGGGAAACUGGGUCUAAUACCGGAUACGACCAAUCUCCGCAUGGGGUGUUGGUGGAAAGCGUUAUGUAGUGGUUAUAGAUGGGCUCACGGCCUAUCAGCUUGUUGGUGAGGUAACGGCUCACCAAGGCGACGACGGGUAGCCAGCCUGAGAGGGUGACCGGCCACACUGGGACUGAGACACGGCCCAGACUCCUACGGGAGGCAGCAGUGGGGAAUAUUGCACAAUGGGCGCAAGCCUGAUGCAGCGACGCCGCGUGAGGGAUGACGGCCUUCGGGUUGUAAACCUCUGUUAGCAGGGAAGAAGAGAGAUUGACGGUACCUGCAGAGAAAGCGCCGGCUAACUACGUGCCAGCAGCCGCGGUAAUACGUAGGGCGCGAGCGUUGUCCGGAAUUAUUGGGCGUAAAGAGCUUGUAGGCGGUUUGUCGCGUCUGCUGUGAAAGGCCGGGGCUUAACCCCGUGUAUUGCAGUGGGUACGGGCAGACUAGAGUGCAGUAGGGGAGACUGGAAUUCCUGGUGUAGCGGUGGAAUGCGCAGAUAUCAGGAGGAACACCGAUGGCGAAGGCAGGUCUCUGGGCUGUAACUGACGCUGAGAAGCGAAAGCAUGGGGAGCGAACAGGAUUAGAUACCCUGGUAGUCCAUGCCGUAAACGUUGGGCACUAGGUGUGGGGGACAUUCCACGUUUUCCGCGCCGUAGCUAACGCAUUAAGUGCCCCGCCUGGGGAGUACGGCCGCAAGGCUAAAACUCAAAGAAAUUGACGGGGGCCCGCACAAGCGGCGGAGCAUGCGGAUUAAUUCGAUGCAACGCGAAGAACCUUACCAAGGCUUGACAUAUACUGGACCGCAUCAGAGAUGGUGUUUCCCUUCGGGGCUGGUAUGCAGGUGGUGCAUGGUUGUCGUCAGCUCGUGUCGUGAGAUGUUGGGUUAAGUCCGCAACGAGCGCAACCCUCGUUCUAUGUUGCCAGCACGUUAUGGUGGGGACUCAUAGGAGACUGCCGGGGUCAACUCGGAGGAAGGUGGGGAUGACGUCAAAUCAUCAUGCCCCUUAUGUCUUGGGCUUCACGCAUGCUACAAUGGCCGGUACAGAGGGUUGCGAUACUGUGAGGUGGAGCUAAUCCCUAAAAGCCGGUCUCAGUUCGGAUUGGGGUCUGCAACUCGACCCCAUGAAGUCGGAGUCGCUAGUAAUCGCAGAUCAGCAACGCUGCGGUGAAUACGUUCCCGGGCCU